UCCCCGGGCUCAACCUGGNUACUGCGUUCUGAACUGGGUAGCUAGAGUAUGUCAGAGGGGGGUAGAAUUCCACGUGUAGCAGUGAAAUGCGUAGAGAUGUGGAGGAAUACCGAUGGCGAAGGCAGCCCCCUGGGAUAAUACUGACGUUCAUGCUCGAAAGCGUGGGUAGCAAACAGGAUUAGAUACCCUGGUAGUCCACGCCCUAAACGAUGUCGAUUAGCUGUUGGGCAACUUGAUUGCUUAGUAGCGUAGCUAACGCGUGAAAUCGACCGCCUGGGGAGUACGGUCGCAAGAUUAAAACUCAAAGGAAUUGACGGGGACCCGCACAAGCGGUGGAUGAUGUGGAUUAAUUCGAUGCAACGCGAAGAACCUUACCUGGUCUUGACAUGUACGGAAGAACUCAGAGACGAGUUUGUGCCUUCGGGAGCCGUAACACAGGUGCUGCAUGGCUGUCGUCAGCUCGUGUCGUGAGAUGUUGGGUUAAGUCCCGCAACGAGCGCAACCCUUGUCAUUAGUUGCCAUCAUUUAGUUGGGCACUCUAAUGAGACUGCCGGUGACAAGCCGGAGGAAGGUGGGGAUGACGUCAAGUCCUCAUGGCCCUUAUGACCAGGGCUUCACACGUCAUACAAUGGUCGGUACAGAGGGUAGCCAAGCCGCGAGGUGGAGCCAAUCCCAGAAAACCGAUCGUAGUCCGGAUUGCACUCUGCAACUCGAGUGCAUGAAGUCGGAAUCGCUAGUAAUCGCAGGUCAGCAUACUGCGGUGAAUACGUUCCCGGGUCUUGUACACACCGCCCGUCACACCAUGGGAGUGGGGGAUACCAGAAGUAGGUAGGGUA
rnacentral:rRNA from 1 species